GUGCUUGCUGCAGUAGACAUAUACUAAAAUUGGAAGCAUACAAAAAAGAUUAGCAUGGCCCCUACACAAGGAUCACACACAAAUCCAUGACACGUUCCAUAUUUUC
rnacentral:snRNA from 10 species